UCUUGUUUAUUUUGAAAAUUUAUUCUGGAUUGAUCAUUUAGUACUUCAUUUCCUAGGUUUAUAAUUUUAGUUUUGGGCUAGGUAUUGUAUUGGUUUAGUGAACACGAGGUGGGAAUAGUGUCUUUGAAAUUGUGAAUUUCUAUUGUCUAUUUAUUUUGAAUCAAAGUGUUGGGAGUUGCUUAUUGCAUCCAUUUCCUUGGAGGAUAUGUUAAAAGGAAUGAUUCAAUGCAUUGACUAUUAUUCGUAGGGUUUGUAAUAUGCAAUGUUAUGUUUCUUAUAAGUUGUAUUUGAUGGCAAUGAUGGAUGCACCGAUUCAAAGAUU
rnacentral:lncRNA from 1 species